rnacentral:rRNA from 1 species
CCUACGGGUGGCAGCAGUGGGGGAUAUUGGACAAUGGGGGGAACCCUGAUGCAGCGACGCCGCGUGGGUGAAGAAGCGCCUCGGCGCGUAAAGCUCUGUCAGCAGGGAAGAAAAUGACGGUACCUGAAGAAGAAGCCCCGGCUAACUACGUGCCAGCAGCCGCGGUAAUACGUAGGGGGCGAGCGUUUUCCGGAUUUACUGGGUGUAAAGGGGGCGCAGACGGCGAUGCAAGCCAGGAGUGAAAGCCCGGGGCUCAACCCCGGGACUGCUCUUGAAACUGCGUGGCUUGAGUGCAGGAGGGGCAGGCGGAAUUCCUGGUGUAGCGGUGAAAUGCGUAGAUAGCAGGAGGAACACCGGUGGCGAAGGUGGCCGGCUGGGCUGCAACUGACGUUGAGGCCCGAAAGCGUGGGGAGCAAACAGGAUUAGAUACCCCAGUAGUC